AUGCAAGUCGAACGCGAAAGUCCCCUUCGGGGGGCAAGUAGAGUGGCGCACGGGUGAGUAACACGUAGGUAAUCUACCUUCGGAUGGGGAAUAACAAUCGGAAACGGUUGCUAAUACCGCAUAAUGCAGCGGCACCUAAUGGUGACAGUUGUUAAAGCGGGGGAUCGAAAGACCUCGCGUCUGAAGAGGAGCCUGCGGCGGAUUAGCUAGUUGGUAAGGUAAUGGCUUACCAAGGCAACGAUCCGUAACCGGCCUGAGAGGGCGGUCGGUCACACUGACACUGACAUACGGGUCAGACUCCUACGGGAGGCAGCAGUCGGGAAUUUUGGGCAAUGGGGCGAAAGCCUGACCCAGCAACGCCGCGUGAAGGAUGAAAUCCCUCGGGAAUGUAAAACUUCGCCANGAAACGGGAAUAAAUAAGUAGGGGGACAAUACCCCCCUAUGAUGACCGGUA
rnacentral:rRNA from 1 species